rnacentral:tRNA from 1 species
AGUAAAAUCAGCUAAUGAAGCUCCUAGGUCCAUACCCUAGCAAUGGAGGUUAACAACCCUUCUUUUACUA